rnacentral:lncRNA from 1 species
UCACAUUUUUCCUCUUCUCAUAUAUGAAAAUUAUGCAUGUCUUCAGGUGAAGGCAUUGCUUGAGGAAGGAAAAGAUAUACGUCUAGGGGAUUGGAAGGCUGCUGAUAUUGAGAUUUUGAAUUCCUUUCAGUUGCUAACUGCCAAGCCUGUUGUAUACUUGGUAAUGUUCUCUCCCCCGAGUAGAAAAUUUGUUUGACUUUGGAGUGCAAAAGUCCUUAUUGUUUAUUAUGUACCAGUUAGCACUUAGCAAUGCCUGUUGGAUACUUUUUCAGAUAAAAAUACCUCAUCUUUUGUUAAUUUCGCUAGUAAUGUUUUUUCAGUUCUUAUUAUGGUUUUGAGGUUCAUAUUAGUGAGCAUGCAAAUGGAAGAAUGAUACUAAGUAGAUGAUGCUGAUAUUUUGUUAUUAACCUUGGCUUCCUUUCUCUACUUUGCCUUGUUUUUCUUUACGUACAUCCAGCAACCUAGUUUAUGAAACUAUCAUUGUAUAUGUGCAUGUGUUAUAUGACAAAUGAAAAGUAUUUAAUCAAGAAAACAUUGAGUUAGUAGAUUAUCUGUAUAUCUUAUGGGGAGAUAAGCUGUAAUGUAUGUCUUUUGAUACUGUAUUUUAUUACAAAUUAUUUCUGGGAAUAAAAAAUGCUUUCUAGUGCUCAAUAACUUUGGGAUAUGUCUAGAUAUAUGUUCAGAGAUGUCUCCAUUUUUUUUUCAUGUUCGAAUACAAUUUGACACUGUUUGAAUAUGGCUCAACAAACUAUGACCAGAUGGCUUGGAUAGAAGAUUGAUUAUGUGGUUGCUUGUUGUGAUUUACUCCAAAUUAUGUUUAUAAAUGUGUGAUUGGUUGAACUUAUUUUGAAGAAAUAAUUGUUUAUUUUUGUCAACUUCCUUGAAGAGCUUUUGAAAAAAAUGAUUAUUUCCUUGAAUUUAGUCUAUGUUUGGGUUGAUGAAAAGAAAUGGGACAGAAGUGUAAUGGAUUAAAAUGGAAUGAAGUGGAAUGGAACAUAAUGUAAUAAAACCUCAAUUCCAUUGUUUCGAUAUGUUAUGAUGGAAUGAAACAAAAUUCCAGUUUCAUCUCAUAAAUAUGUUAUCCUCUUCCACCAAUCCAAAUCGUAAGUGUUGAUUAUUUUAUAUCCAAAGGCAUUUGCAGCCACAAGUUGGCAAAUCAUGUAAUCUGGUUCAGUAUAUCUCAUGUAAUAAUUCUUUCCCUUCUCCCACACUGUGGGUUAUGAACCUGUCAUUCAAAAUUCACACAUACCUUUUUCUUGUGAAGACUUCCUUGCACUCAUGCUUGCACGCAGACAUGUUUGCAUGUCCAAAUAAUUUUUAUUAUUUAAUUUUGUUUUCCUGGGCAUGUUCUAUUCCAAAAAUUUUGUAAGUUGCCUUAUCACCAUGUCUGUUGUGUCAUAACUAUAACAUUUCUAUGUUGGUGCUUUCUUAAAGUAUUUCCCUAGUCACUGAGGAGUUACAUCAUAGCCAUAGUCCAUAUUGUUCUAUAGUGUCAUGUACUUCAGAUCUAUUUAUAUAAAAUUUCUACCUCUGAUACCUAAAUUUCAUUCACAGGUUAAUAUGACCGAAAAAGAUUACCAAAGAAAAAAAAACAAGUUUCUGCCCAAAAUUCAUGCAUGGUAUGUAUUUAUGUUUGUUUUUUUAUUUAUUAUUAUUUAAAUAUUUUUUUUCUUUCGUGAAUCAUUUAGACCUUGUCUCUCUCCAUGACUACCUCUGUACGAGUAUGAAGGAUGCCAAAAUUGGGUUUAAACUGCAAAGUAUUCUACAUAUUUAUGUGCAAAGUAUUCAACAAGUGUGCACUUUCAGUGGCCUUUCUACUGAAUUUUGUGCUACUUAACUUAGAUGCCCUUUCAAAGAUCUUCCUAAAAUUGCGUUGUGUUCUUGGCAAGGUAUAAAUGAUGGGAUGGAAGAAUGUUUCUAUGUUUGGUCUACGAUAAUGGCUUGAUGCACAUAGGAUAUGCCAAUUUUCAUUGCUAACAUUCCAUUCCUGGUUUUGACUAAUACCAGCAAUACCCUAGGUAACAAGAGCACAGUGCAAGAGUGCAACUUCAAACUAAUGAAGGCAUCUUCUUAUAGUUACAAUACAGGUGGUGCAUCUCAAGUGCACCUUUGUAAUUUAUUUUAAAAUUAUAUGUCUAAACUUUUUAUUAUAAGUAGAAAGAUUGUACUGAACUAUUUGCUCUUCUACACACAUCAGCUCUGUUAUUUGUAGUGUGUUUGCAGUAAAUAAAAAAGAGUAAUUACUGGUUUAAUUGAUUUAAUUACAUCCUAAAAAUUGCAGCUAAUCAAUUAUAAUUUAUAAAGAUAGCUGACUUGCAUUUUACAUAUUUUACAUAUGCUAAAUCUAACACUAUCAACAAAACUUUAAAGAAUUUACAUAUACUUUUGUAAAAUUAUCAGUUUUCAAGUUUUAACUAUUAUAAUGUUUUCUAUAAACGACAAUUUUUGGAAAAGAAAAAUGAAAGUUUGCAAAUUAAUAGCAAAAACAUUUAAUUUUUUUAAAAUACUGUAAAUAUGAUUCUGUGGCAUCAAAGAAGACAGGUAUUGGAUGCUGCCGUACAAGUCUGUCUCAUUGGGAAAGUAGACUGUAGAAGUCACAUCAUAUGACUGGUGGAUCGGCAGCUUGUGCUGACAAAUUGAUCUUACUGCUGAGCUAGAAUUUUUAGGAUUUGAGUUGAUCCCACAUGCUCUAAAGUAGGGAUCCCCACUAUUAGGUUAUGGAUUGAGAGUUUAUCCAUCAGAAUACUGUAACAGCCUAGCAGGGAACACCUCCGUUCCUUCAGCCACACAACUGGCUGCAUGACAAUGGAUUUCAAUUCAUGUAGUUGUUAAAUUGAAAUGAUAUUGCAGAUUGCAGGUUAUAGUAUUGUUUCUGUUUGAAUUUGAAUACUAAUUUCAUACUGCUUUUCCGUGAAAGCAGUGUAACUCCUCCACUUGUAGAAGAAAAUCUUAACUAAUUUGGCACAUUUUGUUUUUCCUUAUUAUGUAAUAGUGUUUACUUCUAAUUUAUUUUCUUAUUGUGCCUUAUUUUUUGUUUUUCCUUAUUAUUCUGUCAAUGCUUGGUGUUUCGUAAUGUGAAAAAAAUAAAAUAAUUAUCAUUGGACACCUGUGUUCUUCAGGGUCCAGGAGCACGGGGGUGAGACUAUUAUUCCUUUCAGCUGUGCCUUGGAAAGGAAUCUUGCAGAUAUGCCACCAGAUGAAGCGGCUAAGUAUUGUGAGGAGAACAAAACUCAAAGGUCCGUUUAAAGUAUUUGUUGUACUGCUGUUAAAUGUUUGAUUGCAAAAUUAGGAACUCUUUUGUGUCUUUGCUAUGGCUAAUGUGUGAUUUUGAUCCCCUGAUAUCUUUUUCCACAAAUUUAAUCACUCAAUUCUUUUAAUUGCUAUAAUCAAGUCUUUUUGCCAGUUCUUCUCUACCCAAAACCCUUAAAUCCUUAUUUUCUACUCAAAGUAAUCACUUUGAACUCUUUUCCGUGCAAAACCCUCUAAUCAAAGCAUUAAAUUUACCAUUGGACUUUACUAUUAAAAAAAUUCAUGGAAGAUGUCAUCUGGAUUAUGAUGCAAUAAAUAGGCUAAAAACAUGGUAAAAUUAUUAAUUUAAGAAUAACUGUUCAAGGUUCUAUUAAUAACCUCUUUGCUGUUCUCAUAUUUGCCAAGUUAUUUGAUUUCGGAAAUUCUGUGGGGGCUCAUUAUUAUUAAUUUUUUUAAAUCUGGCUUUUGGGCUGUUAAUUGAUGGAGUACCAAGAUUCAUGAAGGGAGAGGGGGUUAUGGUCGCAACUUGCAAGAGACAAAGUAAAAGACACUGCUUAAUGUUUCUUUCAUUAUCUUUAUCAUGAUUCCCUCUUGUUGCAUUUCUUUCUUCUCUCAAAUAAUAUUUGUUGAGAGAUUUGAAUGCAAAACUUUGCUAUAUACUUUAUUUCUUUACUCCUUUUUUUGGGAGAAUUUCUUAUUUGUACUUUUCUGUCCUCUUUCUGCUAUAAAAAAUAUUAUUCAUUUUAUAAAAUAAAAAGCUGUUGGUAUGACUGUGUGCAUGUGCUUUCUUGGAGUUUUGCAACUUUAUUGACUUUUGAGUAUUAUCAUGUUAGAAAAUGAGCUACUACCCUUAAUUCCAGUUAGUUUCUAUCUCAGUCCCAUAGUAAUCAAAUAGCUGAUCCAGGGCACGAGUCUAUCACCUAGUGGGGUGGAAAAGAGAGAGAAAGAGGGAAUGGGAGAGAAACAGGUAAGGAAGAGAGAGAUAAGGAGUGGGAGAGAGAAAAAGAGAGCGGGGGGGGGGGGGGGGGGGGGGUGCCCCCAGGCUUCCGGGGUUAAAAGAAUUUAGGGGGGCGGGGAAAAAAAAAAUUUUUAUUUUUGGGGGUAUUUGAAAUCCCUUCAUUUUACUAGGAAAAAAUCCCCUAUAAAAUCCCCAUCAUAUUAAAAAUUCUAUGGAAUUGAUAUCCAAACAAGUCAUUUGAUGUUAUAGUAUUUUAAAAUAUAAAACCUCUUAAAAAUUGAAUUCCUCUCACAAAUGAACUUCUGUGCAUGUACACCAUGUAUCUAUCCUUUUGAAGUGUUCUGAGAAUCAGCAAUGACCUUAUUUAAACAAUUUGAACAGACAUACCUUUUUGAUCACUAUAUAACUACAUCAAGAGCUUAUCCUGAUUGCUUUGCUAUUUGCUAGUACUUUUAUCCCUUUUCACUAAAAUUUUUAAUUGAAUACUCAUUAACAUUGAAGAGUAGAUAUAUAAUUAUAUUUUGUAUUGUACAUGCUACUAACAUUGUUACAUUCUUCUUUUCAACAGUGCUCUUACCAAAAUAAUAAAGACUGGAUUUUCAGCUAUUAAUCUCAUUUACUUUUUCACAGCAGGACCUGAUGAGGUAAUGUAUCUGCAUACCUACUUUCUUGCUGAUAAAAGUUGUCUUAAUUUUUAUAAAUUUGCUCUGAUAUUUGUACAACAUCCUCACCAAACUAUAUUUCUUUUAGUUUCUUUGCUGUUGACUGUUAAGAUUGUGCUCAAGUAUAAAUCUUCUUAAUCAGUGUGUGAUACUCAAGUGCAUCUUUUAGACACAUUAUUGUAAUAUUUUUCAUACAAAUUUUAUCAUGCAAAAAGAAUUUAUUAUUGGAAUUGGAGAUAAAAUUUACAACUAUAAUUAAUUAGUUUUGUUAUGAUAAAUGAUAAAAAUAUAAAAUUACUAUAAUUGAGUCUUUUCAUUUUCUCCCAAUGUGCAUUUAUCACUUCUUUAUUUGGUGAAUGCAUAAAAUUACUUGGCCUUUAUUAUGCACAUGAAGGAGACUGACAUCCAUAGAUAAUUUCAUUGAUUGUCAAGUAGUGAUUUUGCACUGAGAAAGUAACUAAUAUGUAGAACAGUUGUUACUCUGCCAUUCCACAGUUCCAUUGUGUCUGAAAUGCUUUUUCUUUUGUGUGUAUGAUAACUACAAUUGCAAUGUUUACAAUAAUUCACUUUAACAAUUUUUUCUAUACUUUCUCCAUGUCUAACUUCAUGACAUUUGUUGCCUUUCAUUGAUUAAAUAAUUCUUUUGGGUGUUCUUAGGUUAAGUGUUGGCAAAUUAGACGCCAAACAAAGGCUCCUCAAGCUGCAGGGGCUAUCCAUACUGAUUUUGAAAGAGGAUUUAUUUGUGCUGAGGUGAGUUCAUGAAUUUGGACAUUUCUUGAUUUUGAUCUUCCAUAUUCUUCGUCCUAUAUAUGACUGCAAUUAUUGGUUUAACAUUAUAAUUCUAUAACUUUUGAUUAUGCAAUCAGGUUAUUUGUAAAGACUCAAUUGCAUCGCCCAAUAUGACUAUGGAGUCUUAGAAUGUUGCCCUUUUAAGAAAAAAAUGAUUAAAAGAAUACCAAAUCUGAACAAUUUUGCAUGUCUGAAGAAAUUUAAUUUUCCAUUUUUGAUUUGGGCAAGACCUUAGCUAGGUUUGCCCAGCCCAUUUUCUGCAUGACACAUUCUGGAGUAACUCAAAUUGAUGCAACCAUGUUUCCUUUGGCUUAUUGGUAACCACUUAAUGCUGCUUCUGAUGCAAAGAGAGCAAUUGCAUUGAAUAAAUUAUUAGUAAAUAGGAAUAAGAAUCCUUUUCCUAUUUCAUUGUUUGUUACAAUAGAAGUAAAAUACCAUAACUUUUUUUCAUAUAUAUUUUUUGUUAUAUAAUACUAACAUCUAAGUUUUUAAAAGGUUAAUUUAAGAUGAAAUUUUAAGCGACUUAAUAAAAUAAAUCUUGAUAUUACUUUUUUCUCUUAAUGAUUUUCUUAUAAUUACUAUGUUUUAAUUAUGGCCGUAUGCUUUGUGAUAUUGAUACAACAUUCAGAUAAAUGUUAGCAUAAAAAACUACCUAAAAAUAUGAAACUAAUAGAUCUGAAAUGAAAAUUAUACUAUGGUGAAAACUCCAAGGUCAAGUAUCUAAAAGACAAAAUGACACCCCCAUAAACCCAUAAAAACUUUUCCAUUUGUAUCGUGUAUUUUAUAUUUUAUAAAUUAUAAAUUAUAAAGUAACUUGAGUUGUUUUAUGAAUUACUUAAUGAUAUAUUAGAAAGCAUGCACAAAAAUGAAAUUGUAUGGCUAAAAAAUAUGGAAUCCCAAUCUUCUUUUUUUGAGCAAUAGCAUUCCUCGAAUUUGUGGAUGAGAUUAGGAAUGACCUUCAUUUUUUAUAAUAAACAUAGGAAUCCUUGGAUUCCAAGAUUGAAUACAAAACAGCAUUCCAUUCCUUCACACCAAGCUUAGCAUAAGAUAUCUUCUCCAUAAUUCACAUCAAGAAGCUAAUUAACCCUAUGAAUUUACUAAAGGGUAAGAAUCAAAUUAAACCAUGCUAUUUGAAAUUGGGUCUAUGGUACAACCUACACUGUUCACAGUUUGAUUAUGCAUUGAGAUUUGUUACAAAUUCAUUGAUCAGGUUUUAAUUUUCGAAUUAGGAAGAGGUACCACAUAAUUCUCUUAUUUGAAAUUGCAAAUUGAACAGUUUGUAUCAAUGAUUAAAAUGGCUUGCCACUAUUUUCAUGACCUAUUUUAUUUGGCAUAACCAUUCUUCUUGAGAAAGUGUUUUGUUCUCUUCACUGGUUAUAUAGUUUAAUUAUCAUAAUUGAUCCGUUUAAUUUUUUUUCAUUUUGCUAUAGAUAUUUUUUCUGUUUCAAUGACUUCUAUAUUAACAAAUAUGUUCAAUCUUGCAACAACUGAUCUGGGCGACUGCUUCGGAAUGUUGUUUCAGGUGAUGAAGUUUGAGGAUCUAAAGGAACUUGGUAGUGAGUCAGCUGUGAAGGUAUGAAUUUAUUCUUUUGAUGCAACGUAUUGCUGUUGCUUCCUAAAAUGUUGUCACAGUGACCAGCAUCAGAUUGAUAACUGGGUGAUAAAACGGAGAAAAAUAGCCCAUAUUUUUCUAGAAUUUGCUGGAAAAGUGAGGAAAGAUCCUCACUCACCUGGGUAAGUCGAGAUAGAAAUUCAGGUCUAAUACCUUAGGUUAAUUUGGCUAAAAUAUUGAGAUUGAGGAAAUAUGCUCAAUCUCUGUUUUCUGUAUCUAGAUCUAGGCUCACUUUGCUAGAAGAUUUUAUUUGUAUGUUUAAACUUGUUUAGCACUUGCUUUUAUGUUAUUAUAUUGGUAGUUGGUUCCUUUUUUGAGGGAGGCAAGUAUUUAAUGUAGCGGAACUUAAAUUGAUACAGCUGUUUAAUUAGGAUCUUUUACAGAAGAGUCCAUAGAAGUCGUAUUUUGGGAUUAAGGUUUGACUAUAUGUGCUCAUUCUUUUAAUUGUUGGCUUUCUGAUGCUUAAUGCACUGAAUUGAGGUUUAAAUGCCAUACAUGUGCAUUGGUUGCUUUCAGCAUAUCAAACCUUUUCGUUUAUGUGUACUGUGCUACCAUGUGCUUCCAAAGAUCUAGCAUCCCCCAUUGCACUCUUUAUUAUAUGUUUUUUUUUUUUUUUGAACCGCACUCUUUAUUAUAUGUGUAUAUUACUGCCUUCUUUUUAAGGACCUGACCACUUAGUUUACUUUUGUUUUUUUAAUGUGUUGUCUUUUAGGCUGCUGGAAAGUAUAAACAGGAAGGGAAAACAUAUGUGGUCCAAGAUGGAGACAUUAUAUUCUUUAAGUUCAACGUUUCUGGUGGGGGCAAGAAGUAAAACCAGAGAUUCAUCUCAAAUAGCAGAGCUGGUUUUGCAUGGGGUUUGUGUCUUAUUAUAGGCGCCUACCAUGUUGCACAAUUUGUAGAAGUUUGAAAAUGUAAUUUUGGGACCAUUUUCAAUAUUAUUUACUUAUUUAGGCUUAAUAUCUCUAGUGGAUUUUGACCUCUCAGCUAUUUUUAUGAUUUAUCUAUGCUAUGCUACAUCUUAUAGCGGUUUUGAAUGAGUGUUGAUGAGUUGAGGCUUUUUUAUGCCGGGUCAAUUAAUUUAAUAAUAGAUGGGUGCAUUCACGUAAAUUUGAUGGACUGGGAAUUUUGCAGCUACUACUUACAAGUGAAUGGCCGAAUUUCAUUUCUUUGGAGACGAGGUCUAGGGUGCGUGACCCAACGGUCUGAAACAAAAAACAAAAUUGAGGACUACCGUGGGAGGCCACACACCUGAUCAAAUUAAAACUAUUAUUCUUUCCCUUUUUUUUUGCGAUGUUUUCGACCUCGGAGUUUUCAACCUGUCGUUCUCUCAGGCAUAGUAGUUCACUGUCACGGUUCCCUUUGCGUCUUUAAGCUUGACGACGAAAAACCCUCUACGAACACGCUAGUUGUCGAGGUUGCAUUUCAGAUUUGAGUUUCUUAUUUUUGUAUCAGAUCUGAGGUUGGUGAUGCGUACUCUUUGUGCUUCAAGUAUUGUGAUUUGAGUGCGACGAUGAUGAAAUCCUUCACGAAUGUGCAAAUGUUGAAGUAACGAUUCAGUUGUUUUUUUUUUUUUUUUUUCAAAUCUAAGGUUGUGUUUUGUAGUUACUAAGAAAUGUGCAUUUGAGAGAAAUAACUAGAUCUGAGAUUGAAAGGAAGAGAGAAAUAAUCAAAUAUGAGAUUGAGAACAACAAGAACCACUAUUAGAUCUGAAAACAAAUCUGAUGCAUAAGGUCCAAUUUUGAUAUCGAGAAUGAGUGUUUCCUCUUGAGUGAUGGCGACGACGAUCCUUCAGGCUAUAACAGAGGGUUUUGUGGUGGUGAUAAUGGGAUGGUCUCAAUGAGGGACGGGUGAUUGGAGACUCUGAAGAGAGAAGUUUUGGCGAGAAGGAAAAAAUAAUGUAUUUUUUUAAUUUUAUCUAAUGUAGAGGGAGAAGUUCCACUAUAGUCCAUACUUAUAUUAACCAUUGAUUAAAAUCCAUAUAUAUCUAAUGGAUACUUUUUUUUUUUACACGGGGACAUAAUGAGUCUAAGUUACGCAUCGUAGCCUUCGCUUCUUUGGAACACAUUCAAUGUAAAGAACUGUGUGAUUUUUUUGUUGUUGUUGUUGUAAAGUUUAGUUUUUUCUGGUAAAGAAAGAACCGUGCAUUUGGUUCACCUUGAAUCAUGUAAAAUUAUAUUGAAAUACAAACUAAUGUGAUUUUUAGGUGAUUCAAUGUAAUUAUAAAUAUCAACUACCUGUUUAAUUAACCAUAUGUUUUAUAUAGUCAUUCAAUCAUAAUGUAUCAUGUAUGAUAAGUUUGUUAGUUUUCAAAAUUAAUUAUUUUAAAGUAAUUUGAAUAGUGAAUUGUGAUUAGAUGACAAUGCAAAAUUGUUUUAUAUAGUCAAUGAGUGCAUAAACAUUAAAUUCUUAAGCAUUUGUUUAUCUAGUUUUAUCCAAAUACACUCUUAAUCAGUUAAUGUCCAAUUUCUCAUGACUAUUAUAAAAAGAAAUUCACACCAACAAAGCUGACCACAACCCAACCCUAGGAGUGUGCAUUUAAAAUGGUUUUCAUUAAAUCGUUUCCAAACUAGAUCAAAUUGAACUGAUUUUUGAAUUGAACUGAUUUGCUUAAAUAAAAUUGAAAUAAUUUUUUAAAUAAAUUCCUUUCGAAUCGAACUAGUUUUAAAACAAGUUAAGUUCACAUAAUAACCAUUUUUUUUUUCUAAAUUGCAAUAGUUUUUUUAAAGAAAAAACAAUUUGAAAAUUAAUUUAAAACUGAUUCGAUUCUUAAAAUUAAUUUUAAAAUGAUUUGAAAUCACUUCGGUCUCUUAAUCACUUUUUAAAAUCAGUUUGAUUUUAAAUCAGUUUCUUAAAACUAAUUUGAUCCAAACUGGUCUUAAAAUCGAUUAUCAAUUUUGAUUUAAAAAUUGAGUCGUUUAAACCAAUUUUGAACCAAUUCAGCUUGUUUUUUUUUCUUUUCAAAACCAAUUUUUGCGCACCCUUACCUUCCCCCUUCAAAGUGCAUAUUGCAAGCAAUCAAAAGUUAUAAACUCCUACUUAGUAGUAAGAGAAGUUCGGGGGGAGGGCGGGAGAAGAACGAAUCACUGAUUCGUCGCUGAGUCAAAACAAAUUGAUCUGUUCAUCAACAAAUUCACCACUUUGCAUUUUUAAUAUUUUUAAAUGAUUUUCUCCUAAUGUAAUUGUAAUGGGUGCAACAAAUUCAUUUCAUUCAAAACUUUUUUUUAUAAUAAUAAAUAAAUGGAUUUAAAAAGUUAAAUGUCUAUCCUUCUCAAUAACUAUGCUUUCUUUUCCAGAUGUUAUAAUGACCCGAAUUUAAUGUGCCCGACGUAAAUAAAAUCGUAAAUGUUGUGUUUAGAAGCUCCGAACCUCUAUCAUUGGCUCAUUGCAGUCAAAUCAUACAUACUGAAAGUUUGUAUGUUAAUCACAUUUGGUGUCCUCCUGCAUUUAAUAUAAAAUUGUACUUUAUGCUAACUUAAAAAAUAAUCGUCAUGUUUAAGAAAAACAUUGUCUUAAAAUAAGUGUGAGAUUUAAUUUUUAAUAUAAUAUUAAUUAUUUUUUCUCACUAGUAUUUCUAAGUAUUACCUUAAUUUUGUUAAUAUAAUGUUAAUGUCAGGUUAGUUUUCUAAAACUAUUAGUUUCUUUUAUUUAUUUAUUAGUUUUUUUAUGUAUCUAACAUAUGUUAGAACGAUACUUGUUUUGAAGCAUUGCAAGUAUUAGUGUAGUGUGAUGCUCUCACAAAUUUAUAUCUAUCAUAAGAAGAUCCUUACUAUCUCCUUUUCACAUAUUUGGAUGUUUUAGCUUUUUUUUAAAAAAAAUAAUUGAUGUUUUAGACUUUCAAAGUCCAUUUUUUUCUCCAAAUAUACACUUAUUUAAUAUUUACUAUUAAUAGUGUAAGUAUAAAAAAUUAAUGUAUUAAACAAAAAUAUUUUAGUCCAAUUACAAUAUUUUUAGUUCGAUUAAAUAUUUUUUCUAAUUUUAAUCUAUGUGUACUUUAAACAUGAAAAGAUAUGAAAAAAAGUAGUAUAUAGUAUCAUGAGAAAUUCUUCCACCACCACCAACUGAUUACAAUCAGCGAAAGUGGAAAGUCGGUAGAUGAUGCAACCCACGUCAAACCUAAUUUAUCAGGAGUCAAAAAAAAGUCAGGUGUCCACUAAAAUGAGUUUGACUUAUUUUUUUUUUUAAUAUAAACUUUUAAAUUUAGUUUAUUCAUUUUAUUUUAGACUUUGUCAAAUCUUUUUAAUAUUUUUUUUACUUGACUUUGGAUAUCUAAGUCCUAAGAUCUUUGAAUUGGUCAAUUUGUGUAUUAAAUAAAUUUCAAGUUUAUAUAUGUGAAAGGGUUUAAGUUUUUAAAUAAAUUUAAAAAUACGCUUAACAAAAACAAUAUUAUAUAUUUUAACAAGUUAUCCGAUUAAACCUAUAAAAAGAGUUUAAAAUCUGAACUUUUACUAACUUUAAUUUUUUAAAAAUGUUUUACCUAAUUUAUUAAACAAUUUAAUCAUGCUAGCUGACUUGAUAUAAAUCAAGCUGUAGCCCAUUAUACUUAUUUUCACUUAUUUAAUUUAUGGUCUAUUAUUUUAUACUAAGAAUCGAUACAUAUAUAAAAAAAUUUAUAAUAAUUCAAAUACAUUGAACUUAUGAUCAAUUUGGUUGGAGGAAAAAAAUAAAGUGGAUAAUAAUAAGGAUAGAUGGAGAUAAGUAAGAAGAAAUGAUAACUUUUAGAGGUAUUUGAUUUGAAAGAAAUAUAAAAAAAAAGAAUAAAAAAGAUUUUUUUUUUCGUAGAGUAUAUUUCAGUUUGUUUUAAAUAGUAGAAAAAUACUUAAAACCACCUAUAAAUGUACUAUAUUUAGUCAUUUCUUUAUAUAUUUAUAUAUAUAUACACAUUUCUAAUUGACAGAGCAAAACACGCCACAAAUGUUGGCUAUACAUUGUCACUUUUCAAUUUCACCAAGUUUAGUACAAAAAUAAAAGGUAUGGAACUCAUAACUUGUAAUUUAUCUUUCUCUCUAUUUUAUUCUAUCAAAUACUCUAUUUUCCAUCUCUCCUUUAUUUCCUCUUCCUCCUCCCCAUUUUGUCUCCAUUUAUUAUUUCUACCAAACACUCCCUUCGACUCUUGGAGGAAAGAAUACAUCUAUUUCUCUUGUAUGUGAAUAAAGAUGGUCACAUGUAUAAUUUUUGUUUGAAAAUUUUUAAAUUAAAAUUAAAAUAAAACUUGUCUCUUUUGCCAUUGUUCUCAAAAGAGACAAUGUUCUAAAAAAGUAGUUUAGUGCUUGAAGUAGUAUAAUAAUUGCUGUACUAAAAAGGCCUUAAAUUAGUGCAACAUUGAUUUGUGGCUGUUGCCUCGUCCAAUGGCAAAAUAGUGAAUACUAUACCACUGAGAUUUGAAGGCAGUCCCUGAAAAAACGUACUUGAGUGAAAUAAAUGAAUAGUAUUUUUUUAUGGGAGUAAUAAGUGAAAAAAUAUUUAUUGACAUUUAAGGGGCACAAAAUGAAGUUCAAUAUCUUCACCAAAAAAAAUAAAGUUCAAUAUUCCCACCGACAUUCUAAAUGUCCAAUGAUAUGGGGCAUAGAUAUUGCCCCUUGAAUCAUGCUAUGUGCAUAUGCUACUAUUAUGCGUGUGCGUAUAGUCUUCAAUUUUCGGUGAAAGCAUGGGAAAAAAAAGAAAAUUAUGAAUAGUUACAAGGAUUAAGGGAAGAAGGGGGAAAAUGAAAAUGGAAGGAAAUGAUGUCAGACAUGAAGAUGUAAAAUAAUCUUUUGCCGUACUGUAUGGAUUUGUGUUUUCCUUGUUUCUCUCCAACUAAAUUACAUUUUUGCAUUAUAUUUAAGGGUUUGUAGAUUAGUGGUUGAGUAAUUUAUUCCAUAAUUGACCGUUUGAUUGUAAAAUUAUUAACUAAUAUUGAUAAAAAUAGAUAAACUAUUUUAGAAAUUCAUCAAUUUGCAUUAAACCAAUCGGUUGGAUUUGCAAUUUGUAUCUCCAAAAUCAAACUAAACCGCAACAUUUAUACAAGUUUUAUUUCUUCAGUCAUAUAGUGAAAACCUAAUCUUUCUCCUAAUUAAACCAUACUCAUGCAUUUGCCUCUUACUAUCAUGGGCUUGUCAUCGUUGUUGUCUCGUCGAUGACUUAUUCUCGUUGACAUCGUAAGCAUUCUUUUCCUUUAUUCUCGUUGAAUUCGACAUUGUAACUCAUUUUUAUUUUUCUUUGCUCUCCCUUGUCCUUGGCAUUGUUGCGCACACCUUUGGCCAUUUGCUAUUUGUUGUGUUUUGGGUUUUUUAAUACUUGGAAAAUUUGGCUUUUAAUUUGUUUUCUUUACUUGUCAAAUUUGGUUUCUAAAUUUCAUGUAUUAAUUUAUAGUCAUGUUUCAACUUUGUGUUAUGAAGUACUUAUUCAAAAUUGUGAAAUUUAUUGAGUAGAUGUGUUCCUUGUAUAUCCUGAUUUUCAGGAGCAUUUAUUUGACAAGGUGAUUUAAACAUUGUGUUAAUAAAUUAAAAAAACAAAACCGUUAAAAAAUUACUUAAAAGUCAAUCAUACUUAAGAAACAAAAACUAAAACAGAUGCAAGAAAUAUAUUAUUUUAUAAACAAUUAUUUAUAUCAUUUAAGAAACAUAUAAUCUAAAAAUCCCACACAAAAUGAGUGAAAAGUGGAAGGUGCUUUUCUGUGGGAACCAAUUUUGUCUAUGCUGUCGUGGGUGAUGGGCCAUAUUAUUGGCAUAGGGCUCCCUGGUCCAUGGCCCCAUUCCCUUAACAUAUAUAUUCAUUAUUCUCUCACCAACUUCACCUCUUGUGACUCUCUGUCUCAAUUGAAUAGCCUUGGAAACACUGAUCCAAACAAAGAAACCCUAGUCAAAGGGGCAGUGGUGGGCCACCACUCACUCCUACAUGGCACUGUGUUGUUGACACGCCUUCCAACCCAACAAUCUUAAACUCUAUUUCAUAAAAUCUUUUGACGUCCACUAGGAAAGUAGUGGGAAGAUUGAGAUUCCCUGUCUCUUUUUGGCGGGUAAACCCCUAAUUUUUUUUUGCUCAUAAAAACUUAACACCCCAAAAUGGGGUAAAAAAUGAAAAAAAUAAAAUAAACAAACCCUAUCUUUUGUUCCGGCUUUUUUUUUUCACCUUGCCUCCAUGUCAAAAUUGCAAUGACGAAUGCAGACACUGAAAACCUCAAAAGAAUGAAAUUCUAGAGGCUGCUUUAUCUUUAGGCCUCUCAUAAACUAACAAUUAGGAUUCCAUUUUAAGGUGCUCCAAUCCUCCAUUGUCACAUGCAAACUAAAAGACAUAAGUUAAAAAGAACAAAGUUACUCUCUUUUUAAUGUUUUCUUUAUUGUCACACUUCAUUAAAGUAAAUUUUUUUGGGGUCAUUUACUGCUCAGAAAAUUUAAAUACUUUCUUUUUGGGUUUUUAAAAAGAUUUCUAUCCAUCAAUUAAAGCCUUUUAGGACCAAAAAAAAUUCUGGGUCCCUUCUCCUUUAUUGCAGUAUGGAGUGUCAACUGGUUCUCAUUUCCCUUUUCCCCUUAACUUGGUUGUGGCUACAAUGCUGCUGUACUGUACUUAAUUUCUGAAGUUUUAACUUUAAAGUUCUAAUCUUUGUGCUAAACUCUCCUGUCUGCUUCAAAAGAUUCAUACCUGAGGGGAGGGAUUUCUGCUACAGUCUACAUUGUGCUUUAGGAAGUGUUUUUGGUAAGAAACAUAGUGUUUUAUGUCUCAGAUCUCUCAACAUUCACACAUUUUGUUUGGUUCAUUUCAGUGCAUUUCAUGUUUCUAGGUUACACCAUGCAGCUAAUGGUUGUCUCUGCAAAAGAAGCUGCACUGCAUUUGUUGUAAAGUUUUUCUUGUUUUGUUGAAGGACAACGAAUCUCUUGGAGCUACUAGUUUCCCAUCAUUUGGUGGUUGUUUAGUAAGUAAAGUCGAUGACUCUGUGUAGUUUUUUUUUUGUUUGUUUAAUAUUUUGUUCUGGCUUUAUCAUUUCUUAUUGAAUGCUGUCUAUCUUUGCUUGCUGUAGGUUGGGGCACUUGUGGUUUUGAAGAACCCCUCUUUUCGUUUUUGCUGUAAGUCCUUCACUAAGUGUGGAUUGAGAAGCUUGAAGACCCAACUCUCUCUUUUGAAGACUGUGUUUGCUUGCUUCUUUUCUAAAUUGCUGCUUUCUUUUAGAAGAACCAAAGAAGGGCAUCUUGGAAUUCUAUUUGUACCUUUUUUUGGUGGGGUGAAGAUAGUUGCUUAUCCUUUUGAACUAAAAGGGUGAAAGCUCCCUUUCUGUCUUCACUUAGUGUGAACUACACAGAAGUAAACAUUCUAGUGUCUGUAGAAGACUAUGAAGCCUUUUAGCCUUUUAGUGUUAUCUUUAUAUUUCUUCUCUGUGGUGGGGCAGCUUCCUUCUCAGGACAUUUUAGCAUUGCUGGAGUUUAAGAAAGGCAUCAAGCAUGACCCUACUGGUUAUGUUCUCAAUUCCUGGAAUGAGGAAUCCAUUGACUUUGAUGGAUGCCCAUCUUCAUGGAAUGGAGUUCUGUGCAAUGCUGGCAAUGUUGCUGGGGUUGUCCUUGAUAACUUGGGUCUCUCUGCUGACCCUGACCUGAGUGUGUUUUCAAAUCUUACAAAGCUUGUGAAACUCUCCAUGUCCAACAAUUCCAUAUCAGGAACACUACCUGACAACAUUGCUGAUUUCAAAAGCCUUGAAUUCUUGGAUAUCUCCAAUAACCUCUUUUCCUCAUCCUUGCCAUUGGGAAUUGGUGAGUUACGGAGCUUGCAGAAUCUGUCAUUGGCUGGAAAUAACUUCUCCGGCCCAAUUCCUGACUCUAUUUCAGAAAUGGCCUCCAUCAAGUCCCUGGACUUGAGCCGCAACUCCUUCUCUGGAAUGCUGCCAGUGACGUUGACUAAGACGACUAGUCUUGUAUCUCUUAACUUGUCUCAUAAUGGCUUCACUGGAAAAGUUCCCAAAGGUUUUGAGCUGAUCCCCGCUCUUGAAAAACUUGACUUGCAUGGAAAUAUGCUUGAAGGUAAUUUGGAUGUUGUAUUUAUGCUUUUAUCAAGUGCCAGCUAUGUUGAUUUAAGUGAGAACAUGCUGUCAAGUUCUGAUUCCAAGAAGAAGUUUCUACCACGAAUAUCUGAAAGUAUUAAGCAUCUGAAUCUAAGCCACAACAAGCUUACUGGGUCAUUGGCUAGUGGAGCUGCUGAACCUGUUUUUGAAAACUUGAAGGUGUUGGACCUCAGCUACAAUCAGUUGGAUGGAGAAUUGCCUGGAUUUGAUUUUGUUUAUGAUCUUGAAGUUCUUAGACUUAGCAACAACAGAUUUUCAGGAUUUAUUCCUAAUGGCCUGCUGAAAGGAGACUCUUUGGUUUUAACUGAAUUGGAUUUGAGUGCCAACAACCUCUCAGGUAUAUUGGCAGUUCCAUUUUUUCUUUUGCUCAAAAUAAAAAACCUGUCAUAUUUUCCUAAUGGAAUUGAUUGUUUGUGGUGUUACAUGAGAGUCCUUAGCUUCUGUUAUUAUUUGUCUAAUAUUCUAAUUGUUUUUCAGGGCCACUAAGUAUAAUUACAUCAACAACACUUCAUUCUCUUAAUCUCUCAUCAAAUGAGUUCACGGGUGAUCUGCCGCUGCUGACUGGAAGCUGUGCUGUACUUGAUCUGUCAAACAACAAAUUAGAAGGAAACUUGACCAGGAUGUUGAAAUGGGGGAAUAUAGAAUUUCUUGAUCUCAGUGGGAAUCAUUUGACGGGGACCAUCCCUGAGGAAACUCCUCAAUUUUUGCGAUUGAGUUAUUUGAACCUAUCCCAUAAUUCUCUAAGCAGCUCCCUUCCAAAAGUCUUAACACAGUAUCCAAAGCUUAGAGUGCUCGACAUUAGUUUCAACCAAUUGGAUGGACUACUUCUAGCUAAUCUGCUCACACUGUCCACAUUGCAAGAGCUGCACCUUGAAAAUAAUAUGAUCUCUGGUGGCAUCAAGUUUUCAUCUUCUGCUGACCAAUCUGAUCUUCAGAUUCUUGAUCUUUCUCACAACCAGCUUAAUGGCUAUUUUCCUGAUGAGUUUGGGUCAUUAACUGGCCUGAAAGUGCUAAAUAUUGCUGGAAAUAAUUUUUCUGGUUCUCUUCCAACUACCAUUGCUGACAUGAGUUCACUAGACUCCCUGGAUAUAUCAGAGAAUCAUUUUGCUGGUCCUCUACCAAGUAACAUCCCAAAGGGGCUCCAAAACUUUAAUGCUUCACAAAAUGAUCUGUCAGGACUUGUCCCGGAAGUUCUUAGAAAGUUUCCUAGUUCUUCUUUCUUUCCUGGGAAUACCAAGUUACAUUUUCCAAAUGGUCCUCCUGGAUCAGUCAGUUCACCUGCUAAAAGUUCCAAGAGGAAGCAUAUGAACACCAUAGUUAAAGUCAUAAUCAUAGUGUCAUGCGUGGUUGCACUCUUCAUAUUAAUCUUGCUUGCUGUCUUCAUACACUACAUACGUAUAUCAAGAUCUCCACAAGAAUAUGAUGCAAGUAAGGAUAUCCACAGGCAUCCUCAACCAAUUAUCUCGGCUCCUGUUCGUACGACUGAUAGGGGUGGUGCUUUGGUUGUUUCAGCUGAGGACCUUGUGACCUCACGCAAAGAGUCACCAUCGGAGAUUAUCAGCUCUGACGAAAAAAUGGCAGCUGUAACGGGGUUCUCUCCAUCAAAACAAAGCCACUUUUCAUGGUCACCAGAAUCUGGUGAUUCACUUACUGGUGAAAAUCUUGCAAGACUAGAUACGAGAUCGCCAGAUCGGUUGAUUGGUGAGCUGCAUUUUCUGGAUGAUACGAUAACAUUGACACCUGAGGAGCUCUCAAGGGCCCCAGCUGAAGUUUUGGGAAGAAGUAGUCAUGGUACUUCUUACAAGGCAACUCUGGAGAAUGGUUUGUUGUUGAGAGUGAAGUGGUUGAGAGAAGGAGUGGCAAAACAGAGAAAAGAAUUUGUCAAGGAGAUGAAGAAAUUUGCAAACAUCAGACAUCCAAAUGUUGUAGGAUUGAGAGGAUAUUAUUGGGGUCCUACACAGCAUGAAAAGCUUAUACUUUCAGAUUACAUCUCACCCGGAAGUCUUGCUAGUUUUCUUUAUGGUAAUAUGUUGACUUUCCUUCUAAUAUGAUUAGACUGCUUUUCUUAAACUUGAACCUUAAAUAAAGGAGGCACCUUAGGAGUGGUGUUGGGUAGGUUAGAAUUAAUAAACAAGAUAUAUAGAGGAUUUGAAGGAUAGGAUAAUAUAGUAGACUAAAAUAACAUGAUCCUUGAUUUCCAAAUGGUUAACAUAUCUAAAUGGUCUUUUGAAAUGCUUGGAAGUGCUUGCCAUGGCAGCUUCUACUAUAAAAUCUGCUUGUUCAUCACACAUAUUUGAUAUAUUUAUAUUGAUAGCCUUAUAUAAAUUUUAUUACUUAAUUUAUAAUUUUCAGUCUGAUUCCUUCAAAUUGCACCACAAAAAUCACUCUUUCGAAAAAUAUAAUCUACAUGCAAGGAAAUAUGUCAGUUUUUGUCAAAAUUUGCCAAAGAUAAAAAAAUUUCAUUUGAAGUGUGUAAAUCUCAAUCCUUCUAAACUGAUUGGUUAUGCUUGAAUCUGAUAAUGCCUUAGCUCCCAUGUAAAGUAAUCUGUACUGUAGUUGCAUGAUGCCUACUAUGCAUUAAUUCUAAUGUGUCUUCUGUGUGUCUGUAUGCAUUGAUUCUAAUGCCUAUUAUAUUUUACUGGUGCAACUAGUAAAGGUUUCUAAUAGUCAUCUAUUAUAUCUAUUAGUCUUUCAUUCCUAAAUAUGUCAUGUUUGAACUUAAUUAUAAAUUUCAACUGUCAGAUCGACCAGGAAGAAAAGGUCCACCACUAACUUGGGCCCAGAGGCUCAAAAUAGCAGUCGAUGUAGCACGUGGUCUGAACUAUCUCCAUUUUGAUCGUGCUGUUCCUCACGGGAAUCUCAAAGCUACAAAUGUGUUGUUAGAUACAACUGAUAUGAAUGCACGUGUCGCCGAUUACUGCCUUCACCGACUCAUGACUCGAGCUGGUAACAUUGAACAGAUUCUUGAUGCUGGGGUCUUGGGUUAUCGUGCACCAGAGUUAGCUGCUUCCAAGAAGCCAAUGCCCUCCUUCAAGUCAGAUGUUUAUGCUUUUGGAGUGAUACUUUUGGAACUUCUAACUGGAAGGUGUGCUGGUGAUGUUAUAUCUAGUGAGGAGGGAGGUGUUGAUCUGACAGAUUGGGUAAGGUUGCGCGUAGCAGAAGGCCGAGGCUCAGAAUGUUUUGAUGCUACCUUGAUGCCAGAAAUGAGCAAUCCAAUUGCAGAAAAGGGAAUGAAGGAGGUCCUGGGAAUAGUGAUGCGGUGCAUUCGGUCUGUUUCUGAAAGGCCUGGUAUCAAGACUAUUUAUGAAGAUCUCUCUUCUAUAUAAUCUGCUCAUGCUAACUGUUUCAACUUUGACAUAUUGUGGGAAUUAAUGUCUCAUUAGUGUCCCAUGUUGGUUCAGAGCUUGGCCUUUUAACAUGUUUGUAUUAACCAUUUUUUUAGCUGUAAAAAUGGGGCUGCGCCAAAAGCAUAUACAUGGAUGUUACUUGAUGGGUUGUGACCAUCUAAUUCUGUCUUGAAAUGGUAUGUGCUAUGAAUGGUCAUUUCUUUGCAAGUACUACACGGUUGAAGGCUGUACAAGUUGGUCAUGUAACCGUUAGCACUUAGCAGUUAUAUUUUUUUGUUGAUUUAAUUGAUCUUUUUUAGAGUUGAUGGCCAAAGAUGUUGGACAUAGUUCUCCGCAAACUCAGCUGGUUUUCACUUUCAGGAAGUUGCGUGCCACUAAUGAGUAACAGUAGCUGUUACUAUUGUCAUGUAAUCACAAUGGUUGUGGAAGCCAUGAUUUAUUAAAUUCAAUCUUUGCCUGUGUUGAUUAACUACCGGUAUUUAUUUCUUACAGAUUUAUCUAGAAGUAUAAUUCGUUGUUCAAUUCAAGAGAUUUUCAAACAUUAGAUUUGAUGUUUUAAAAUCUUAAAAUCUUGCUCUUAAACUUCCAAUUCUUUUAAAAUCUUCCAAUCCUCCAUAUUCACUAGCCAUUUUCUUUUCUUUGGUCCUUACCUACAUAACCUUUUUAGAUUGCAUUGGUCGUCUCAAAUCUCAAUCUCUUCCUAAAUGAGGCUCUAUACUUGAAGGAUCCUUUUGUAGGGUAUUCCACAAUCAAAUAAGUAUUAUCGGUUUAGAAUAUUUGUAUUUUAAAAUUGAAUUUUAUUAAAAGUGAAUUUGAAAUAAAAUGGGUUGUGUUGGAAACUUUCUUAAAAUAAGAUUGCAUUGUGCUAAUGCAUGAUCUUGCAAUAGCUAAGGUGAAGAGUCAGAGGACAUGUACUCUAACACUGUUUUGGAUUGGCGGUAAAAAUUAACUUUAAGAAUAAAAUCAUGGUAAAAUCAUUACGAAAACAGUUAUUUGCUGCUUUGGAAAAUUACGAUAGAUUUUUUUAUUCAAGAGAAAUCAAAUAUAGAUAUUACGAAAUUUAUAAUACUCAAUGACUCUAUUCACUAAGUGAGUUACAGGCCUGGAUAAUUACAAAGAAUUUAACUUACCUUUUUAUCAAGCAAAAACUAAGUCUAUGUUUGUGAAUGGAGAUUUCAUGGAAAAGGGAAGAUAAUUUUUUGUUUCUAUAAGUAUUUUUUAAAUUGAUAAUUUUUAAUAAAAGAAAUAAAACAGAAAAUAAAUAUAAGCUUAUUGUCUUAAUCAUGUGUUUAUUUUAAUGAAUAUUAUAUAAUUUUCUUAAUUUUAAAAUAAAAAUAGCACAAAUUUAUUUUUUUCUUGAAAAUUAAACUUCUAAUUUGUAAACAUACCUUAAGAGGAAUCUUCUCCCCCCUCCCAAAAAAAUUGGAAAAAACAUAUAUAUUCUGAAUGAAAAUUAAUAACUAUGUCAAAACACAAAAAAAUGGGUUUCAUAAAUUUAAUUUUUUUAUUCAUUUACAUAUAUUUGAAAGGCUGAAGACAAUUUUUAUUAAAUAUAUUUUAUGGUCCAUGCUACUUGUAGUAUAAAGGUUAAUAUAUUUUUUUUACUGCAGUACAAAGAUUAAUUAUGUGCAUGCAAUAAUUUAUCUUUAGUAUAUAAAAUGUUUUUUUUUUGUUUGCAGGUAUGUAAAUGUUUUUUUUUUUACUACAGCAAUGUAAAUGUUAAUAAUACAUUUUAUAUUGUUAUAAAAUAUUGGCAUAAGAUUUUUGGAUAUCAUGAUAUUAAUGUAGAAUAUAAAUUAUUGGUCUCUGCCAUACAACCUAGCUAGCCAACUGUAUGGUGGAUUUGAUUGUGUAGAAGAGAAAAAAAUGGAAGAGAGUUGGGAAGGAAUAUCUGAAUUAAAUUAGACAGUAAAAGUGUGGGAUCCGCACAUAAUUUUAAAAAUUUCUCUCCCUUUCUCUCAUAUUUAUCCACAAUCAAACAUAUGCUCAAUGAGAUCCUUUGUUCUAAACUUCUAAACACAUUUUCAUGCAAGAUUUAUGAAAGAAAAAAAUAAGAUUCACGAUUUCUUGUAAUUUAAUUUAAUAAAUAAGUUUAAAUAUUUUUUUAAUUUUUUUAAUUUAGUAUUAUUUUAUUUUACAUCUUUGUAAAAUUUUUAUUUUUUAUUUUUAGUCCUUAAAAUAUUUUAUAGUACUUUAAACAUGGAAAAAAAUAUUGUUUAAAUAAAAAAAUAUAAUUUAUAAAAACUAAAAAUAAAAAAUAAUUUUAUAAAGAAAAAAAAAUAAAAAAACAAUAAAUUAAUAAAACUAAAAAGAUAUUUAAACCUAAUAAAUAUUAUAGAUUAUAGAUUUGGCACCAGAUCUAAUCUACAAAGUCUGACCACAAAUUGGAGCGGGUCGGUUUGGUCAAACCCGUUAUGUUUGUUUUUAAUAACGUAAGGUUUGGUUGAACGUGUGAAAUUCACAAUCACAAACGAUCUUGUCUCUGUCUCUGGUUCGCUUCGUCUCCGGCGUCUCAUUUACGGUCCCUGCCUCUGUCUCUGUCUCCGUUCGUUCUGGUUAGACACUUACCUUUUUCUUAUUCAUUAACGCUUUAUGUAUUCUGUUCUUUCUAUCUAUCUCCUGUGACUUCAGUUUCAAAAAUUGUCAUACCAUUCUGCUCCGUUUUGUUGCUUAUUUAUUUAGUUCCCUAACAACACUGCAAGUGCUCUUUAUUGGGGUUGUAUUUAUUAUCUUGCUACCCACUAUCUGUAUCUGUAUUGUAUUGUGUUACUCAUUUCAUCUUGUCUUUGUACUCUACCUGUUUGAUGUUAUACCCGCUAGGGUUAGCUUACUGGUGGAGGGUUUGGGUAGUUUGCAUGAGAUCAUAGGUUCUUAACCUCAGUGUCGCCUGUCAUUGUACACCAGAAAAGAGCUGUUUGAUGUUUCCCUUACCCACCUGACACAAGUUAACUGUGUUAAAUAAAUAAAACAAGUAUUUUUUAAAAACAAUGAUACUAGAAACUUUGAAAUAAUGUUCUGCAUGAGAGGAAUAUAGUUCUGUUUUUAUUUUUAUUUUAUGACCCGACAAGUUCUAGUCGCUUGCUUUUGGCAAAUUUCCUAUGUAAACCUGCUAAGUGUUUGGUAUAUAUUUGGAAAUUUCAGAUUAUACGCUGAACAUAUCUUCGGGGGGAUCUGUGUUUUGGAGGAUUAAUUUGUAGCAGUUAGCCUUGUCACUGUAGAGAAUGCCUCUGCAACUUUUUGAUGGCAGUGAUUCCGAAAAUGAGGACAUUUCAAAGAUCAAGAUAGACGAGAAGUAUGCUCGUAGGUUUGAGCACAACAAGAAGCGGGAGGACCUCCAGCGUUUUGAGGAAUUAAAAAAGAAGGGUGUUAUUGAUUCACCUUCACCCUCACAUUCUGAAGGUGAGGAGGAAUCUGAGUCUGAGUCAUCAUCAGAUGAUGAAGACUAUGAGACACUUGUCAAUUCUAGAAGGAGUGACAAGGAGUUCUUUGAUGCCUUAAUUAAGGUGAAGAAGCAAGAUCCUAUUCUUAAGCUAAAAGAUGUUAGGCUCUUUGGGUCGGAUGAUGAUAGCAUUGAUGAUGAAAGCAAUGAAAAGGAGAAAUUUAAAUCAAAAGACAAGAAGGGUGAAAAGCCAAUGUAUUUGAAGGAUGUGGUGGCAAAGCAUUUGAUUGAGGAGGGGGCAGAUUUUGGUGAUGAAGAGGAGAUAGAUGAAAUGGAAAAAUGUAAGGGUAAGAAGGUAAUGCCUUCCAAAGAUAAAGACUUUGUUAAUAAGGAUGGGAAGAAGACUUAUGGUGAUGAGCAAGAGGAGUUGAAAAAGGCUUUUCUGGAAGCAGUAGAAAGGGAGGGUUUGAAAGAUGGUGAAGAGGAGUUUUUCACUGUGAAGGAGAAGGUAGGUGAGGAGGACAAAGUAGAUAGUGAUGACAAGGAACUUGAGGAGAAGCUGGAUGAGUAUUUUGGUGGAGAUGUAGAAUCAAAUGAAAAUUCCAAGUUUCUAAGAAGCUAUUUCAUGAACAAAUUGUGGAUUGACAAGAGUGGGAAGAAUUUGAAUGUUGGAGAGGAUGAAUUGCAAGAGAUUUCAGAGGAUGAGAUAGAGCUCGAGAGACAGGAAGAAUAUGAGUACAGAUUUCAGGAAAAUCCAGGAGAUAGGGUGUUGGGUCAUGCUCGGAAGGUGGAGGGAUCAGUGAGGAAGAAGACGAAUGCAAGGAAAGAGCAGAGAAAGAGCAAAGAGGAGAGAAUGGCUAUAGAACAAAAGGAGAGGGAGGAGGAGUUGAAACGCUUAAAGAAUUUGAAGAAGCAGGAAAUACAGGAGAAGGUUAAAAAGAUAAUGAAGACUGCAGGGAUCCAUGGUGAUGAUAUUAUUCCAUUGUCCAUGGCAGAAAUUGAAGAGGAAUUUGACCCAGAGGAGUAUGAUAGAAUGAUGAAGAAGGCAUUUGACGAGAAAUAUUAUAAUGCAGUGGAUGCUGACCCUGACUUUUGUAGUGACAUUGAUGACAAUGAGAAGCCAGAUUUUGAAAAGGAGGAUGAAUUACUUGGGCUUCCUAAAGGCUGGGAUGCAUGCGGAUCUAAUGGUGGGUUUUUAGCUGCAAGGGAAAAAGCACUGAAAGAAAAGAUUGAGAAUACUAGUGAUGACGAUCUCCCUGAAGCAGAAGAUGAAAAAGAAAGGUUUGAGAAUACUAGUGAUGACAAUCUCCCGGAAGGAGAAGAUGAAAAAGAAGAGAAAAUUCCUGAGGAAGGUAGUCGGAAGAGGAAGCGCAAAACAGCACUUUUGGAGAAAGCAAGACAGGCAAUGAUGGAUGAGUACUAUAAAUUAGAUUAUGAGGACACAAUUGGGGACCUGAAGACAAGAUUCAAGUAUGCCAAAACAAAACCAAGUAGAUUUGGCUUGAGUGCCUCAGAGAUACUAUUGAUGGAUGACAAGGAAUUGAAUCAGUAUGUUUCCUUGAAAAAGCUUGCUCCUUACCAGGAGGAGGAAUGGAAACUAAGCAAACAGAAAAGAUACAUGCUGAAGAUGAGGGCUAAGGAGCUCCUUCGCACAUCAAGUUUGGAUAAGAAGAAAAGGAAGAAGUCAAAGGUUGAUUCUGGCAAGAUAACUUCAUCAAAAAGUGUUGUGGAGAACGAAAAACCAAGCACAGAAGAAUCAAAUAUUAAUAGGGAUAAUCUAUCAAGGAAAGCCAAGAGAAGGCGGCAAGUGGCUAAUUUGAAAUUAUCACAAUCGAGGCUUAAAGCAUAUGGGAAGAUUCCCUCAAAAUCUAAGCAUGGAGGAAAGCACUGAAAGCUGUCACUGAUAUAUGCAGGUAACUACUUUAGUGCGAGGUUAAUUUGAAGUAGCUAUAUAAAAAUAUCCAUUGCUAUUGUUAAAUAAUGACUGGUUUGAUAAAACAUUUCCUUUCUGCUUAAGGUGAUUUAUUUUAAAUUAAUGUGAUUAUAUUCAGUCAAAAUUAAAGUGAUAUUGGAUUAAGUUCAUAUAUUUAUUUAUUUUUGAAAAGGAUUUGCUUCCUCCCCCUCCCCAACCUUGUCUGCUUGUAACUUUUUUGGUGGUUUUGCAGAAGGAACCAACUAACCGAGGAACUUACGAUCUUAGAACAGAUUUGGAGCUUACUAUUGCAAAUUACUGUGCCGUGGAUCAUGGAUGUGUUUGCCUAAGUGUUUUUGUGGAGAGAAGUUUUAGUUGUCUUUAUGUUUUCUCAAAAUGAAGUUUCUUAGAGUCUAUGGAAUUUCUUAGCAUACAAUUACAAACUGUCAAUUGGACAAGCAAUGUUGACCAAAAGUUGGUGCUCGUCUCUGUUUUCAAUAUUGCAUGUACUCAUUUAGAAUUAGUGCUUUAGUAUUUGCUUGUCUUGCGGAAUCUCACUAUUUGCAAUAAGUUGCAACUGUUUCUACAACUUCAUUGAGCUCAAUUGAUGUUCUUGCCAUAUAUAUUAGGCAUGGGAUCAAAACAUUUUCAUGUAUACAACCAACAUCUUAAUUUACUUAUCAUGAGGUUCGUCCAUUCCAGAGUAAUAAUGAUGAAAAGCACAUGAAAAGUCUUUGGCUUCAUGGCCAACGCUGCAGAGCUCAGUAUAUCUGCACAAAAAAUUCAUUGGUAAACAAACUGCUAAUACUUCAUAUACUCAGGACUAAAGCUUUCAACUAGCUUUAGCUUAUAAGUUAGUUUUACCAACUCAUGAGUCAGAUGUAGCUAAUGAAAACCUCCCCCCUUGGAUUUCUAAAGGAGUUAAAGCUAUUAAUAAAGACAUAUAGGAAAUUAUGCAUUUGCCAAAGUGGUGCAUCAUCCAAAUAAAACAUGCCACCUUUCGCUAGAAAACAGAAAACAAUAAAAGAAAAGGCUUCGACUCCAGUAUAAUGUGUUUUAAAAGCUAAUCCUUCUCAAUAUUUGAAAUUAAGUGAAUUGAAAUCCUUUUGUAUUAAUUUGCCAAUAAAAUAUGUAUUGGCAUUACAUGUUGCAAUAGAAGUGGAAUUUCGUUUCAUAACGAGAGUGGGAGUUCAAGCUCAACUUAUAUAUAAACACAUCGGGUAUAUUUUUCUAUUCCGUCUUACUGUCUAGUCAUUGAAUUAUGAAGACCAAAUAUUUAUGAAUUUGGGAAAGAAAAUACAACAGAAUCUCAUGUAACAUUCCUCUGACCAACUAUUUACCGAAAAUUUUAAUUAAAAAAAUGCACAGUGAAAGAGCCGUGAUCAUACAUGGCCUUCAUAUUCAACACAAGUUGAGUUAUCUAUAUAAAAAAACAUAAGUUGAUUCAUCUAGUUGGCAGUUUGCAUAAUUUGUUUGCUUUAGUAAAAACACUGAUUGUACCAUCUUAAUGCUUAAGCAGCACAUACAUAUUAUAAUAGUUUUAAGGUUCAGAAUCACAACAGUUUUCACCAAUGGAUUUAACAGAAAGAGGUGUACAUGACAUGCCAAGGAUAUGCAAGAAGAGGGACUUACAUCUUUUGUGCUUGUGAUGUUAGUGGGUAUUUACAUCCGGCCAGCUUAGCUGAUUCUACCGCUAGAUUCAAGUCUUUUGCCUGGAGCACACAUACAAUUAAUUCGACUUAUUUUUAAGAACCAAAAAUUCAAACUAAAGCAAACACACUUGUAGAAACAGAUUUUUUAGAAAAAUCAUUACACUUUAUUUAGCAGGUUAUAUAUAAUUUUGUAUAAAAUCCAACAUCAGGUUUCACAAAACAAAAAAUUAAGAAAGGCAUCCAAGAAAUGUAUAAUAGAUUGCUAGGAACAAAGUGAGAAUAGUAAACGAAAAGAGAAACAGCAUGAGUCAACAUCAUUAAUAUAUAUAGGAUACUGCAAAAGCUCUAAAAAAGGAAAUUGUGCACCAGAUAAAAAGUUUUCUGGCCGUUCCCAGGCUGUAACCCAAUAAAAUAGAGUAGAACAUUGUGUUUUGUCAUGAACCAAUUCUUCAUAAAGGCAUUCGAUUUAGGUCAUUUUUAAUAGUUUCAUUUGGAGUUGUUCUUGGUCUUCAAUCUAUAGGCAUUUACCAAAUUCAUUUUUUUUUUCUUUUUUUGGGACAAAUUAACAAAAUUUUACAAGCUAAUAACAAUUUAGCAUGCAUUGUAUUGCUAAAAGAGAACAUGUAAAUUUCAGAAAGAACAUGUAAAGCUUUGCUAGUGGAGCCAACGUAGAGAGAUUUUUCAGAGAGAAAAAAAACUUGGUUAAUUAUGCUAUUAGCCACCCAUUCUUUGAAUAUCAUGAACUAGUUGAGCAGUUAGUUAUUUCUAAAUUGAAAAUAAUUUUAACAAGAAUUUCUUCUUCUUUUUUUGUAAGUUUCCCAAAUAAAUUUCAGUAUAUAUCAAAUUGGUCAUUCUUAUUAUUAUUAUCGUGUGUCCAUGCUCUUGUAUCCCCACACCCUUAGCUGUGAGACUAAUCUAGUUUGGGUUGAGAUUGUCCCUCUUAGCAAUGCAUUUUUGCAAGCUUUAACUGUUGAAAUCAAUGAUUAUUAGAGGUCUAAAUUUGGCGUAGUUGCAUCCCACUGUUAUGACUAUUCAUACUAAAGAUUUCCAAGUGGUACAAUCAUCACAAAUUCAGAAUUAAACAUUUUCAAGUUGAGUUAAAGCUCAGUUACUUACCAUAAGCUUGGAUGCAAACCCUCCGUUAUAAUCCCUUGACGAGGGCACCCCUUCCAUCAGCCCAGGAACUGGGUUGUAAGCAUCACUGUAAUCAAUGCAACUUCAACAUAUUAUUUUGAUAAUCUAAAUACCAAAACUUUAACCUUCUAAAAAUUUCCUUAACAGUUGUGAACUAAGCUAUAAAUGGAAGGUUUAUUGCUGGAAAAGGAAGCAUAUUUUUGUUAUCAGGAGAAAACUACAAGGGUCUCAAAGUAUACAACAAGACAACAAAUAUGAGGACAGUAAUUUUUGACGAAAACACCAAUAAUGAGAUAGGAAUAUUUCACUAGCAGUGAAGCUAUGUCAACUGUCAAGGCAACUAGUUAUGUGUCUCUCACACGGUGUACUUCAACAUUAUGACCUUUUGAACUUCAUGCUACUUUCAUUUGUAUUAGGGGAACUAUACUCCUACAUUCUACUUCAUAUCUAUUCCUUUAUAGCUACAAUAUGACAAUACUAAUUCUAAGGCCCCUAAGAAUCAUAGCCACUACAUAUUGUUAAUGAUGCUGACUAAACCAAUAUAAUUCUGCAGCUAGUUGUCACAUUGACUCGACAGAGAAAAGAGCCACAUACCUACUCCAACAGCGAGCACUGGAGCAGUUAAAUAUAUUUGUCAAGGUUCUGGCAGAAACACCUAGAGAUUGGCCUAGAGCAAGAGCUUCUGAUAUUCCCAGCAUGCUAACAGCCAAAGCCAAAUUAUUGCAAAUUUUUGCAGCCUAAUAACAAAACCCAGGACAAAAUAUGUGACUUACAGUUAAACAGGCAAUUGGGAGUACCCAUAAACCUACACUAAUUAUAAGUAAUGUGUAACUUACAGAACCACUUCCUGCUCCACCACAAUAUAUUGCACUUUUACCCAUUGAAAAGAGCAAGGGUUUUGCAGCAAGAAAUGCUUCCUCCAAACCACCAACCUGGGGAAGUUCCAUAUCUUGUUAUUACUCAUUUUUUGCCAACAAUUUACGACUUUGCGGCAAUUGUUUUAGCACUAUUACCUCAUUCCCAUGUGCAGUUCAUAACAUUACAACCUUUGUAGUCAACCAAUCAUAACUUUAAUGCAUUAUAGAUAAUAUUGUGGCAUGACUAUUAUCAAAAUUUAACAUCAAAUUGAGAAUAUACUAAACUUCAGUGAACUACUAGUUUGGUCAUCAAAGCAUCAAUUUGGUACUCUAUGAUACUUUUUUGACACCAUCAUAGUCCAAAAGUUACUGCAAACUUGGACCAGAUUGAUAUCAUUCAAUGACUGCAAUUAAUCAUUUAAGGUCUAAUUUGAUGUCAUCAAUUUGGUACUCAACAGGAAUUGGAAAAAUUAGUGAUACAUUGAAGCUACAAUUAUUACCAAUUUACCAAGUAUAUUGUAGUUUAUGUAAAUUUUCAGCAGGUUAGAAUAAAACAGUAACAAUACCAUAAAAGUAAGUGUCCCUGCUUCAGCUGCAGUAACACUUCCAGAUACAGGAGCAUCCAACUUGAAGGGUUUUUCCCAAUCACCUACACAAUGUAUAAUCAUUCAGUACCACAACAUUAAAAGAGUAAAUCGUUCAACCUACUAAUUGCUUGAAAGCAAUUGAUAGACCAGGAGGAUUUUAUGACAGCCCCUCUACCCAUUCGUAAAGAAGAAUAUAAUGAGACAGCUUAUUCUCUAGAAGACUUCAUUGAACUCCUAUCCAUUACCAUUCAAGACUAAUCUUCAAAUGAAUACAGAUUUGAAUCUUUUUACAAAGUAAUAUCUAAUGACUAAAAUGCAAAAUCUACUCAUGCUAAAAGCUAGACAACCAAAUACAAUCAUGAGACACAAAGUAGUGGGCAAUUUUCAGUUUGGAACCAGUAAGAUUGUAGUAGUUCCAAACUUAUUUGACACAUACCUUAACCGCAGACCUAUUGUUAACUUCAUCCAUUAAAAAGUUGAAGGAACAUGAUGCAACAGAAUGACAGAAAGGAACUUUAUAAAAUAUUUGAACAGUAAGAUGUAUAAACUGCAGAACCCACGGCUUUGUGAUUUUAACACUAAAAAUAUACUAUGGGUUUGUGUGUGGGAGCAAAAAUGAACACAAAUAAUGGGACAUGAGUUAAACAUAUUCCAUGAAGAGAAUAGAAGUUCCUCUCGAGCUUUAUACAAAUAUCAAAUUUUUGUGAAUUGGAUAGCAUAGCCAUAGUAUACACAAGUGAAAAGACAUUUUCAUAAAUUAGUUAUGAAUGAAUAUAUGAUAAAAAAUAAUUCUAUGGUACUAAAAGCACUAACAAAUUCAUAGAUGGAAAUUCAAGUUAUGAUAUGCUUUACUUGGUUGAUAUUUCACUUUAUGUUACCUUUCUUUUCUUUUAGAAUAUAAUUAGAUACUGUAGCAGAAAGGUUUCUUGAUGUUUCUGGAUCAAUAGUGGAUGAAUCUAACAACAACCAUGGCCUUAGGAGUUUUCCACCAUGAAGCAAACCAUUUGGUCCAGUGUAAACAUCAAUCACCUACUUAAAUUAAAUAAGGAUGUUAUUUUGGUAUCAGACCAAAGUCAUAUAAUAAUAUUGGGAACUAUUACACACUUCAUGGAAACCUGAAAUAUGCUAAAUGAGAUAUUCAGGUACCCAGCUUAGUAAACUAUUUAGUUAAAUGACAGUUUACAGUUUAGGGCUUGCUUUAAUAUAGAUGCCAUCAUUUAUAAAGAGCUAAAUGGAAGAAAGGAUACAAUCAGACUAUACAAAAAUAAUUUGAUAUAAUGCUUGACUAUUGAAUAUGUUCAUUUCUAUGUCUCCAGAUAUAUAUUACAAAUCCUAUGUUAUUCGAUGUAAUGUGCUACACUAGGUUAAAUAGGGAAGAAUUGAUGGAAAAGGGUGGAAAAUAAUGGAUUUCAUCAUGUUACAGAAUCAGAAGCCUUCACUUUUGUAUAUAAGAUAGCAAUACAGGUCACAUCAAACACUUCAAAUUUCUUUUUUUUCUUUUUUUCUUUUUACCAAAGAAACUGUAUGGAGAAGUUGACAAUCUUCUCAUCUGAGCUAGUUGACAAAAAAUUGAAAUCAUAAUUCAAACAAUUAGAAAUUGUUGAAGAACUAUAAAAGAAAUUGAAGCCACAAAUGAUGUAAUGCUUUCACAUGUAGGGGAAUGCCUUUUGGAACUAAUGGCCAUACUCACAUGGGCAGAAUUAGGUAGCAUUGUGAUUACAACAUCACUUGCUUCUGAAACUUCAUAAGGUGUUUUCUUUGUGGGAACUCCCAUCUGAGAGAACAUCUCGAGAACAUCAGAGUUUCUGCCAAUUUUUAACAAAUUCAAUUAACAACACGACAGACAUUCUACUCAAAUUAGCAAAAAAUAAAACAACCAAAAUCAUAUUAACAGUUCCAUUAAAAAAAAGUACCACAAGCCCCCAAGAUGAAUUAAACCUAAAAAUGAAAUGAGAUUAUACUUUAUAGCAUUCUCACAGGGACAAUUUUAAGAACUCGAAAAAAAAAAGAGCAUGAUAAGAUCAAGAAAAUGUUUGAAACAAUACAGGUCAUGAACUGUGAGUCUGAAUCCAGCUUUGAUCAGAUUAUUUGCCAUUCGGGACCCCAUAUUUCCAAGACCAAUGAAUCCAACAUUCUGCAGUGCAACAGUGAUGAGAAGAGAGAAAAGUGAAAAUUUACAAAACAUGCAUCAACUUAACAAGUAACAACAUGUCAUAGGGGACAUACACAUACUCAACCAACUGAAGCUACACAUUCCAGUGUUUUACUUUUGCAUACUCAAAUCAAUUUCAGCUUAGAAUAGGCAAAAAUAGAGAUAAAAUUAGAGAAAGAGACCUGCAAGUGACGAGGGGGAACUUCUGACGAAGAGAAAGUGCGUAUUGAAGAAGAGACUAAUGCAGAGUUGCAUUUCGAAAGAGAAAGCAAAGAUUUCAAUCUGCAAAUCGCCAUAGAUAGAUAUCCUUUCCUAUUUCUCACUCCAAAGUUAAAAUGAGACACGGCAUGGAAUUUCACGAUGGAACGAAACAACCACGUGCUUAAAAAAUAACGUUAAUUUAAGAAGUACGAGGCAAACUUCAGUGUCAACAUGGUCUUGUUGAGUUUGACAUGGAAAUUUUGUGUCAAUUUUUACUUUAAAAUUAAAACCCUGUACUAAUUAAUAAAUAGAAGUGCUAAGAACACUUUUUCUUAAGAAUAAAUACUUAAUUUGGCACCUGAAAAUGUGAUAUUGUUAGAUAAUUUUAUUAUUAAAUUAUAAUACAUUUUGAAUGAUGAAUUUAUUGUCAAAUUAUUUGUAUAAUCAAUUUUUCAUAUUUUUACCUAUUUAAUAAUUAAAUUUAAAUUUUUACAUUUUUAAUAAUCAAAAUAGUUAUUUAUUUCUUUUUCUUACUAACAAAUAUAUGAAAAUCACAUGAUUUUAAAUUUUUUACACCUUAUUUAAUAAUUUUUCUCAUGGUAUUAUAAUAUUUAACUAAUAAGAAAAAAGUAUUAACAAAAUGUGUCAGAGAAAAAUUGAUAUAACGCAUUCAUAAAAUAAGGAUAAACAUAAACUAUGGAUAACUAUGAAUCUUGACGCCGCAUGAGGACACACUCGUCGACCUUUUAGACCAUGAUAAUCUUGUUUGAUUGGUAACUAUUAAUUAUUUAGUUUAUAAACAAUGUAUGGGCCAAAGCAAAGACAAACCCGAAUAAUGGAUCCUGAUGGAAAUAAUUAAAAUAUCAAUGUUAAAAUUAAAAACUUUAAAAAAAUCAAAUCAAAUUAUUAGAGAAAAUUAAAAGCAUGUUUAGUUUAUUGUGUAGUUUUUACUUCUGGGAAACAAAUGGAUCAGUUUAAGAACUGAUUUCAAAGGGAAAAGUUUGGGUGGAAGAACCUACUUCCAUCAACAUUGUCUAAUAAAACGAGCCACUAAUAUAAAAAAAAAAGUGCGCUAAAAAGAAUAAGUGAGAUGGAAGCAUAUGAAUUUUUUUUUCUUUUUUUAGACCACUACUACAGAGAAAAAUCUUUUCAAGUUAAAUAGAAUUAUUAUAAACCAUAAAAUUCUCUCUUCAAAACCAGAUACCUUAGAUUUAAAUCCAAAAUCUUUGGUAAAAGCAUAUGAAACUGACAUCCAGUUAACUUGUGCUUAAAUAAAAGUUUUUUUUUCUUUUUUUUUUUUUUUGAGAAAAAGGAGUAAACAUAUAAUGGGUGAUAUAUAUAUAUAUAUAUAUAUAUAUAUAUAUAUAUAUAUAUAUAUAUAUAUAUAUAUAUAUAUAUAUAUAUAUAUAUUAUACUUUUAGUAAAAUUAUCAAGUAAUAGUUAAUCUUGAGGAUAUAGGAGCAACGAGUACAUAAUUAAUGUUGAUAAUGUGUGUGUGUUUUUUUUUCUCAAAAUAAAAUAAAAAUAUCCUACUAUCAAUCAAUUAAUGAUUUUACAAUAAGUAAGCAGAUACACAAACAAAAUGUAUUAAGUCGACUAAUGCUAGUAAUUAUUUCAUAAAGAUAAACAUCCAUUAUAUUUUUAAAGUUAUAGAAUUUAGGCACAAUAUCAUAAAAAAACAUUUCUCAAUUUUAAAAUAUCCUUAAAUUAUCUUUUUUAAGGUUCUUCGCCUCAACCUCACAUGAAUAUCUAUAUAAUUCUAAAAUAACUAUUUCAUAAUAGAAAAAAAAUUUUCAAAUGCGAUUAUUUCUAUUUCAGAAUUAUAUAAUUAUAGAAUAGGAAAAAAAUCUCAUUUUGGAAUAGUUUUCUGAAAAGAAUUUUUCUAAUAUGAAAUACACAUGAAUACCUAUAUAAUUUUAAAACAACUAUCUCAAAAUAUAAAAAAAAUUUCUUAAAAAAACUAUUUUAAAAUGAGAGUUUUUCUAUUUUGAAAGUAUAAAUGUAUUCUAAAAUAUUUAUUCCAAAAUAAAAAGAUCUCAUUCCAUGAUAAUUUUUCUAUAAAGAAUUCUUUCUAUUUAAAAUAAUUGUUCUAGAAUAUAUAUACACUUCCAAAACAAUUAUUUUGGAUUAGAAAAAAUUCUUUCUAGAAUGAGAUUUUUUGUAUUCUAGAAUAAUUAUUCCGAAAAUGUAUAUUUAUUUUGGAAUAAAAAAAUUCCAUUUGGAAAACAAUUUUUUAUAUGGUAGAAUAGUUGUUCUGAUAUAAACUCUUGGAAUAACUAUUAUGGAAUAAUAUUUUUCCUAUUUUGGAAUAGCCGAUGUGAGCUUGAGAUCUGGGACACGGUGGAGGGUGGACGUAAGUUGCUAGAGGAAGACGGUGGGACAUUUUUGUCCAUGGAACUUUCUUUGGAAGGUGCAGGAUUCAAAUGUCAAAAGACUAAUAGGACUAGAUUAGGCACUGGGUUGAGCCCAUUUGUGUUGACUGCAUAGGAGACGACCAAGUGAGGUGCAGAAAAUGCAGCUGUGGUGCUGGUGAGGGUAUCAUGAUGUGAGUGUGUGUUUUUAUGGAGAGGCUGAUAGAAAGCAAGAACUAGGCUAUAGCUACUCUUAAUAAUUUACCAUUACAAGCUAUAUAGAAAGUUAUAUGAAUAAAAUAAACUUUCAUAUUUCUAUUAGAGUUAUAGUUAAUCACUUUGUACUUAUUCCUUCUCAUUAUCAAUAUAAUUCAUUUUCAAUUUAUCACACUCUUUUUCCCCCUCAAUUCUCUCUUCUCUUUGGUCUGAAAUCAUGCUUACCAACAAUUUAUUCAUUAAUGAUCAUAGUCAAAUGUGGGUACAAUUUAUAACCUAUAUGUAUCCUAAGUUCAUCCAAUAUAACAAUUUAUAACCUAUAUUAACAACGGUACAAUUAUUCUCAUCUAGUUUUAUAGAAUUUAAAAUAAAACUAAAUAACAUUAAAAGAUAAAAUACUAUGUAUCCUAAGUUCAUCCAAUAUAGUCCCUUCAACUAUUUAAAUUUCUUCCUUUUGAACCUUCUUAGGUCCAUCUUAACAAAGACUAAGAGACUGGGCAUGAUUAAUUCUUUAUUGUUUGAUGUGUGUCAAUAUGCUGAGGGUGUGAUCAGCGAUCAGCGAGUGAUAAAAAGAUAAGAGAGGACGAGAGAGAGAGAGAAAGUGUUGUGAAAAUGAAUUUUAAAUAAGUUUAUUUUUAAAAAAUUUAAUUCUUAAAAUAAUUUAAUAUUUAAUAAAAAUGGAUUCUUAGUUGUAACUACUUUGAAUCCAGUUUCUAUUUAAUUAUUGCUAAACCUCGUAUUUUAUAGAAUGUUUUGUCAUUUUGACUUAAUAAAUCAUAACCUUUUCAAAUUAAAAAAAUUGGUCGUCAACAAGAAUCAUUUUGGAUCUAUUCCUAUUUUAUCAUUUUGAGAAUUGCAUAAUUUUGAUUUCUUAUUAUAUAUAAUGCAUAAGGAUAAGGGAUACUCUUGCCAAAAUUACAUUGAAGAAUGCAUAGGAAUAAACGAGCACUCUUGUUAAGUUAAACAAUAUUUUUAUAAAAUUUUCCUCAUUUUAAAAAUAAUAUUCGUGUUAAAUAUAUUUUAACUAUUCCUUAAAAAUCACGAUAGUCGGAAAAAAUUUCCCUUUUAUCAAAUGUCUCCUAAAGGGAAUAUGGCUUAAAAACCAAUUAUCUAUUGAUUGAAAAAAAUCCAUAAAAAUAUUAAUAUUUAAAUUAUAGAUAUAAUAUUUUUUAUUAUAAAUUAACUAUGUAAAAUCAAAUAUUAAUUUAAGCUCGUACCACUGACUCCAAGUACCUAAAUCAAUUGAUAUAAAAUUAUUUUUAUCUUAAUUAAUAUUAAUAAUUUAAAUUUAAAUACAUAAAUACAUUAAAUACUUGAAAUGAAAACUUUAUUGUCUAUAAUCCUAUUUGACUUGUACAAAACUCUGUCCCAUAAAAAUAUACAUUUGUUCUUGAGUUCGUGCCUGCCUUUUACUGGUAAAAGCUUUAGCAUAUUCAUGUCAAUCUGUUUGACAAUGUUAUAAAAAUAUAAAAUCAAAUAUUUAAGCUCGUGGCUUUUACCGGUAAAAGCAUUGGUAUAUUUAUGUAGGUAAGUUUGAUGGCCGUUAUUAGGUCACAUUGGUGUAUUAUAUAUCAUCUAAUUACAUAAUAUCACUUGAUUUCUUUUAUUACAUCAAAUAAUAAUUAUUAUUUUUAAUUAAAGUCUAAAAAUAUUUUUCAUAUUUGAUAUUUUUCUUUUUAAUUUGAGAAAAAGCAAUUACCUAUAUAGAUGUGUGAAAAAGCAAAAAUCUAUCCUAAUAAUAAAAUAAUUUGUAAUAUAUUUUUAAUAGAAUUUCUAUUAUUAUAUAAAAAUGUAUAAAUAUGACAUAAUGGUAUGUAUCUUACCUAAUUUAACUUUUACAAUUUUGAAUAUAAUUUAAUGUAUUAAUUAAUUUUUUAUAAUUUUAAUUUUUUAACAAAAACUUAAAAUUCAUUAAAUAAUUUUUUUUAAAAUUAAUCUAUUUUUUUAAGAAUAAAACUUCAUUCCCGCUCUCAAUUAGACAUUUUUAAUAUUCUCCAUGUUUUCUCUUUUAAUCAUCUUUCAAUCUAGUAUAUCUUAUCUCUAUAUAUCUUAAUUGAAUUUCAGUAGUCUUUUAAGAAAAUGUUUUUAUUAUUUAUCAUAAAUUUCAAUUAUAUAUAUAUAUAUAUAUAUAUAUAUAUAUAUAAAUAAUUUAUCUCUUAUAGUACAAAAAAUUAAAAUACUAGUUUAUUAUUAUUAUAUAAUAUUUGAUAUAUAGGGAUAUAAAUUUUGUGAGUGAUUAUAUAGGGAUAGCGUCCCUAUCAUUUACCUUUCUACUCAUGAAUCAUGCGGCUGGAGGGAGUAAUGUAAUAGUAGUAGUCUUGCAUUAUACGUAAUGUACGUAAAUACUUGGUAUAAUCCUCUUAAUCAACGCUAUUAGAAUUAUAAUAUUAAAGUAAACACGAAUCAACAAACGCGCUAACAGAAGAAAUAUCAUGGGGCAUGCUAUUCAUGAGACAUUAGUUGUAAACAAUAGCCGAAUUAAGAAUUUGGGUUUGGAACCCUAUCUCACCAUACUUACUGUGCAUGUCUCAAAAUAAAAUCGGUAUAAAAAUGUUUUACAAAAUUUAUAAAAGCUCUGAUUUCAUUUGUAUCAUUUUUUUAAUUACAUAGUUAAAUAUCACUUAAAAAUUUGUGAAACAAACAUUUCAAAUNNNNNNNNNNNNNNNNNNNNNNNNNNNNNNNNNNNNNNNNNNNNNNNNNNNNNNNNNNNNNNNNNNNNNNNNNNNNNNNNNNNNNNNNNNNNNNNNNNNNAAAAGAAACCAAUUAAAUAAGAAUUGACUCUUAAUGAAUAAAAUACUAUUAUCUUUCAAAACUGAAGAAGAAGAAAAUACUACUAUUAUAUAUUAAAUGAUAAUGAAUAUAACUUUUUUUUAAUUAUUAACCGCUAUUAAAUUCUUACUUAAUAGUUAAUAGAUCUUUCUCUUUCUGUCUCUUACACACCGAUGAUUUAUAGAGAAGUAUUUUUUACUGAUAUUAAAAAUUAAAAUAAAAUAUAUUUUACAAAAUAAAUAUAUUUUUUAAAAUUUAAUAAUUAAAAUUAUAAAUGUUUUCAAAUGGUUUAAUACAAGAGUUUCUUUAUAGUAAAAAAAUUACAAGAGUUUCUUUAUAUUAAAAAAAAUUACAAGAGUUUCUCGAUAUUUUCUUCAGAUGCAAUCUUGCAAGUUAAGAAAAUAUUCGGCCAAAAGUUAAAUAAAUCAUAUAUGCUGAUGACUUGUUAAGAAAUUAUAAUAUAUAUGCAAAAUAUUGAAUAAGUCCAUCCCCAAUUACUCUAGAAAAAGUCCAUCCCCAAUUACUCUAGAAAAAGUCCAUCUUCAAGACGAUCGCAAUUGGCGAGAAAUUGUCCAGGUGAGUUGACAAAAUAUACAUCAGAUUAUCUAUUGCAUAAAAUAUUGGCUUAAAUAUUUUUUUAAUGUAUGAUAUACUUCGAAUUUUGUUUAGUUUUUAAUAAUUUUUUGUCCUUAAUAAUUUUUCUAUCUAAAUCUGUUUAAAUAGCACUUCAAAAGGUAAAAUAAUUUUUGAGAGAAGACCCACAUCAGCUGAAAAGUAACCAAUAAUGUGUACUUUUUAAUCUUUUUAUAAUUAAUAAAUCGACAUUAAUAAUAAACUCUUUCUUAAGCUUUUAUACCAAGGAAAUUUAUAACUGUCUAGUAUAUACAUGGCAUGAUCUAUCACGAGUUAAAAAGAAAAUCAAGACUAAAAUUGCGUAUGGUAAUGAAAAGGGUUCAUCUUUGUUUAUACUCAUUAACAAAGUAUUUUUUUAGUUUCAUAUCUUCUAGAGUUUUUUCUUCUAUCCGCAGAAAAUUGUAGUCCCAGUAGAAUAUAUAAAUGUCAAAGCCUUUUCGUUAGUCUACGAUCUUGCCUUGUUCCUCGUAAAUUCGCAACCCUCAUUCCUUUCUAUUAAAUUAUUUAUUUUAAUUAAAAGCAUUGAAACUUCAAACAUACACACACUUUAAAUUCAAUAUUCAUGUUUAUAAACGUCAUGGCUUAGAGCAUCCGCAAUUAAUGCACAACUCCAUCUGUCGCUAUAUAAAUCUUUUGUUCCAAGGUUAACAAUUGAAUUUCUGUAGUUGAAAUUACCAGUUACUAUACUCUCUCUUUCUGAAACAAUUUGCCCAAUUGUUUGAGGUAUGCUCAUCUUCCCAUGACUGCCACUAGUUUCCAUUUCUUGCUGCAUACUUACCAAUCAUCUUAAUCAUUAAAAGUUCACAUAAACUUGAAUAUCACUAACCCAUUAGUCUCUGAUCCAUAUUGACUUCAUAAAACUGGCUAUCAAGUUAAACAUGGUUUGCUUUUGUUCGUUCAUUAAUUUUGUCUUACUAUUAUCUUGUUUUAAGUGUAACACGAGAAAUAUAUAUAUAUAUAUAUAUAUAUAUAUAUAUAUAUAUAUAUAUACUGGCAUGCAUAUGAUACCUAUUUUGUUUUAUUUUCCUUCUACUUUUGUUCGUUGGCUGGCUGAAGAUGGUACCCUUUUUAAAAUUGCUUAUAAUUAAUUAUCAAUUCUUGCUAACAAAGGAUUGUCCUAAACAGAUGUUCAAUAUGAGAUUUGUAUCUCAAGAUUGGGUGGUUUCAUGUGCACUAAUACUUCUGGUGUCAUGCACAACAUACUCAUCAGCUUCUUUGGGGAAACCUGAGAACAACAUAAAAACAUCUGUUUUUAAAUCACCCAAGAUUGAGCUAGGUCCAGGGUUAGUUUCAAACAAAUUUUAUUUUGAUGUUGACUUUCCAAGAGGCCAUAUUGCACUCAAGAGUUUCAAUGCUGAAUUGGUUGAUGAGUCAGAGAAAUCAGUGCCUCUCCAAGAAACCUAUCUCCAUCACUGGCUUAUAAUAAAAUACCACCAGCCAAAAAAUGUGACACACAAUAACCAAACAGAUAUUGUUUUUGUGAGAAACAGUGGCUUUUGCCAGGAUGGUACUCUUAUCCAGUAUUUUGGUCUUGGAUCAGAAACAAGAGGAACCGCCACUGAUAUUCCAGACCCUUUUGGAAUAGAAGUUGGAAACCCUUCAGAAAUUCCAUAUGGAUAUGAUGAGAAAUGGUUGAUCAACGUGCAUGCCAUUGACACAAGGGGCGUGGAAGAUAGGUUGGGGUGCAUUGAGUGUAGGUGUGACCUUUAUAAUAUCACAAAGGAUGCAGAUGGUAACCCUUUGAGUCCAGAUUAUAAGGGAGGUUUGGAUUGUUGCCCUGAUAAUACCACGUGCAGGCUAAACAAAGGCUUCAAGGGUCCAAAGAGAACCUUAUACCUUAAAUACACAGUGAAGUGGUUCAGUUGGGACAACUACGUGGUGCCCCUUAAGAUUUAUAUACUUGAUGUGACUGAUGUUUUGAACGUGUCCAAAGGAGGGACUCCAAAGCAUAAUUGCGAGGUAAGUCAAUUAAGUUUAAUAAUACUAACACCUCAUGUAUUGGUUUUAAAGAGAGUACACCUGUUUAUUUUUACUUCUUUUUUUAUAUAUAAUGAUCACAUUGAGAUUUAAAUUUAAAAUUUUAUGUAUAUUAUUCAAAAUCUCCCCCCAUAAGUCAGUCCUAAUAAUUUUAUAUAUAAUUGUUUUUACCUGUGAUGUUUAUGCUUUUUUAUAAAAAAAAUAUACAUACUCCUUCCAUAUUAGACAGAUUUAAAUUCUGAAAUCAUUAACUGAUGGAUUUAAAAUUUCAUUAUAUCUUCACCAAGAUUUAUUUAAUCUUAUAUUGUUAAUUUCAUUUACUUGGUUAAGAGAUAAUAUUUAAAUCAAUCAUAUCCGUACAAGUAAUUUUUUUUUUGUCUAAAUCUAUACAAUUAUUAAAUAAGGAUAUGAUUGGAAAAGAAAUUUGACCAAUCUAAAUUUCUAGAAAGAGAAUAGUCUUAAAAUAAAAAAAAAAUGCGAGAAGUCUAUAACUUUAGACUGAAAAGUAUCUCGUUUACUUUUAUAUAUGAACUACGGAGGUCGUACAAAAUAUUCUUAAAAUGAUUUUUAUAUUUAAAGAGUACACCUGUAAUUAAAAUUAACUUUUAAAAAAGUCAUUUUUUAAUUAUUAUUAUUAUUAUUAUAUGAUAAAAUUAUGGGAUAAGGGAAUCAAUCACGCAACUUUUGAAAACAUAUGAAUUCAAAGGCGUUAUAUAUAUAUAUAUAUAUAUAUAUAUAUAUAUAUAUAUAUAUAUAUAUAUAUAUAUAUAUAUAUAUAUAUAUAUAUAUAUAUAUAUAUAUAUAUAUAUAUAUAUAUAUAUAUAUAUAUAUAUAUAUAUAUAUAUAUAUAUAUAUAUAUAUAUAUAUAUAUAUAUAUANNNNNNNNNNNNNNNNNNNNNNNNNNNNNNNNNNNNNNNNNNNNNNNNNNNNNNNNNNNNNNNNNNNNNNNNNNNNNNNNNNNNNNNNNNNNNNNNNNNNNNNNNNNNNNNNNNNNNNNNNNNNNNNNNNNNNNNNNNNNNNNNNNNNNNNNNNNNNNNNNNNNNNNNNNNNNNNNNNNNNNNNNNNNNNNNNNNNNNNNNNNNNNNNNNNNNNNNNNNNNNNNNNNNNNNNNNNNNNNNNNNNNNNNNNNNNNNNNNNNNNNNNNNNNNNNNNNNNNNNNNNNNNNNNNNNNNNNNNNNNNNNNNNNNNNNNNNNNNNNNNNNNNNNNNNNNNNNNNNNNNNNNNNNNNNNNNNNNNNNNNNNNNNNNNNNNNNNNNNNNNNNNNNNNNNNNNNNNNNNNNNNNNNNNNNNNNNNNNNNNNNNNNNNNNNNNNNNNNNNNNNNNNNNNNNNNNNNNNNNNNNNNNNNNNNNNNNNNNNNNNNNNNNNNNNNNNNNNNNNNNNNNNNNNNNNNNNNNNNNNNNNNNNNNNNNNNNNNNNNNNNNNNNNNNNNNNNNNNNNNNNNNNNNNNNNNNNNNNNNNNNNNNNNNNNNNNNNNNNNNNNNNNNNNNNNNNNNNNNNNNNNNNNNNNNNNNNNNNNNNNNNNNNNNNNNNNNNNNNNNNNNNNNNNNNNNNNNNNNNNNNNNNNNNNNNNNNNNNNNNNNNNNNNNNNNNNNNNNNNNNNNNNNNNNNNNNNNNNNNNNNNNNNNNNNNNNNNNNNNNNNNNNNNNNNNNNNNNNNNNNNNNNNNNNNNNNNNNNNNNNNNNNNNNNNNNNNNNNNNNNNNNNNNNNNNNNNNNNNNNNNNNNNNNNNNNNNNNNNNNNNNNNNNNNNNNNNNNNNNNNNNNNNNNNNNNNNNNNNNNNACAAGAGUUUCUUUAUAGUAAAAAAAUUACAAGAGUUUCUUUAUAUUAAAAAAAAUUACAAGAGUUUCUCGAUAUUUUCUUCAGAUGCAAUCUUGCAAGUUAAGAAAAUAUUCGGCCAAAAGUUAAAUAAAUCAUAUAUGCUGAUGACUUGUUAAGAAAUUAUAAUAUAUAUGCAAAAUAUUGAAUAAGUCCAUCCCCAAUUACUCUAGAAAAAGUCCAUCCCCAAUUACUCUAGAAAAAGUCCAUCUUCAAGACGAUCGCAAUUGGCGAGAAAUUGUCCAGGUGAGUUGACAAAAUAUACAUCAGAUUAUCUAUUGCAUAAAAUAUUGGCUUAAAUAUUUUUUUAAUGUAUGAUAUACUUCGAAUUUUGUUUAGUUUUUAAUAAUUUUUUGUCCUUAAUAAUUUUUCUAUCUAAAUCUGUUUAAAUAGCACUUCAAAAGGUAAAAUAAUUUUUGAGAGAAGACCCACAUCAGCUGAAAAGUAACCAAUAAUGUGUACUUUUUAAUCUUUUUAUAAUUAAUAAAUCGACAUUAAUAAUAAACUCUUUCUUAAGCUUUUAUACCAAGGAAAUUUAUAACUGUCUAGUAUAUACAUGGCAUGAUCUAUCACGAGUUAAAAAGAAAAUCAAGACUAAAAUUGCGUAUGGUAAUGAAAAGGGUUCAUCUUUGUUUAUACUCAUUAACAAAGUAUUUUUUUAGUUUCAUAUCUUCUAGAGUUUUUUCUUCUAUCCGCAGAAAAUUGUAGUCCCAGUAGAAUAUAUAAAUGUCAAAGCCUUUUCGUUAGUCUACGAUCUUGCCUUGUUCCUCGUAAAUUUGCAACCCUCAUUCCUUUCUAUUAAUUUAUUUAUUUUAAUUAAAAGCAUUGAAACUUCAAACAUACACACACUUUAAAUUCAAUAUUCAUGUUUAUAAACGUCAUGGCUUAGAGCAUCCGCAAUUAAUGCACAACUCCAUCUAUCGCUAUAUAAAUCUUUUGUUCCAAGGUUAACAAUUGAACCACUCUAGUUGAAAUUACCAGUUACUAUACUCUCUCUUUCUGAAACAAUUUGCCCAAUUGUUUGAGGUAUGCUCAUCUUCCCAUGACUGCCACUAGUUUCCAUUUCUUGCUGCAUACUUACCAAUCAUCUUAAUCAUUAAAAGUUCACAUAAACUUGAAUAUCACUAACCCAUUAGUCUCUGAUCCAUAUUGACUUCAUAAAACUGGCUAUCAAGUUAAACAUGGUUUGCUUUUGUUCGUUCAUUAAUUUUGUCUUACUAUUAUCUUGUUUUAAGUGUAACACAAGAAAUAUAUAUAUAUAUAUAUAUAUAUAUACUUGCAUGCAUAUGAUACCUACUUUGUUUUAUUUUCCUUCUACUUUUGUUAGUUGGCUUGCUGAAGAUGGUACCCUUUUUAAAAUUGCUUAUAAUUAAUUAUCAAUUCUUGCUAACAAAGGAUUGUCCUAAACAGAUGUUCAAUAUGAGAUUUGUAUCUCAAGAUUGGGUGGUUUCAUGUGCACUAAUACUUCUGGUGUCAUGCACAACAUACUCAUCAGCUUCUUUGGGGAAACCUGAGAACAACAUAAAAACAUCUGUUUUUAAAUCACCCAAGAUUGAGCUAGGUCCAGGGUUAGUUUCAAACAAAUUUUAUUUUGAUGUUGACUUUCCAAGAGGCCAUAUUGCACUCAAGAGUUUCAAUGCUGAAUUGGUUGAUGAGUCAGGGAAAUCACUGCCUCUCCAAGAAACCUAUCUCCAUCACUGGUUUAUAAUAAAAUACCAACAGCCAAAAAAUGUGACACACAAUAACCCAACAGAUAAUAUUGUUUAUGUGAGAAACAGUGGCUUUUGCCAGGAUGGUCCUCUUAUCCAGUAUUUUGGUCUUGGAUCAGAAACAAGAGGAACUGCCACUGAUAUUCCAGACCCUUUUGGAAUAGAAGUUGGAAACCCUUCAGAAAUUCCAUAUGGAUAUGAUGAGAAAUGGUUGAUCAACGUGCAUGCCAUUGACACAAGGGGUGUGGAAGAUAGGUUGGGGUGCAUUGAGUGUAGGUGUGACCUUUAUAAUAUCACAAAG